AACGAACGCUGGCGGCAUGCCUAAUACAUGCAAGUCGAACGAUCACUUCGGUGGUAGUGGCGCACGGGUGCGUAACGCGUGGGAAUCUGCCCUUGGGUUCGGAAUAACGUCGGGAAACUGACGCUAAUACCGGAUGAUGACGUAAGUCCAAAGAUUUAUCGCCCAGGGAUGAGUCCGCGUAGGAUUAGCUAGUUGGUGGGGUAAAGGCCUACCAAGGCGACGAUCCUUAGCUGGUCUGAGAGGAUGAUCAGCCACACUGGGACUGAGACACGGCCAAGACUCCUACGGGAGGCAGCAGUAGGGAAUAUUGGACAAUGGGGGCAACCCUGAUCCAGCAAUGCCGCGUGAGUGAUGAAGGCCUUAGGGUUGUAAAGCUCUUUUACCCGGGAUGAUAAUGACAGUACCGGGAGAAUAAGCCCCGGCUAACUCCGUGCCAGCCGCCGCCGUAA
rnacentral:rRNA from 1 species